rnacentral:lncRNA from 1 species
UGCUAGGAUACCAUUUGGUGGUCAACUGUCUCCAGUGCAGCUGCUAUUACUUGCCAGACUGACAGACAUAUUAGCUUUUAUCCCCCCUAAUGCUCGGGCUACAGAAAGUUUCCCUUCAUUUUAUUCCAUUUUGAUUUGGGGGGAGAGAUCAAGGUAAAGGUGCAGAAAGUACAGAAACACAAAGAAGCUACGGUGCACUUGAAUGUUGGUCUUCAUAUAUUUGAGAUGUGAUGAUUCCUGACAGCAACAGUGUCUUCAGAAUCAGGCACUGAGAGAAGGCGACCUCUAACAGAUGAAUGGCAGUGCUCAAAUUCAGAUUUAAGAAUUGGAUUAUGACUGAAGUGAUAGCACUCCUAUAUGACUGUCAACAUUUACUCUUUAUUCCAGAAAGAAAUGCAAAAAUGUUACAUUUUCAGAUGUCUGUCUUAACUGUAAUUCUUCACAGAAACUACUUGAUGUGAAUGACAACUGAGUUGCACAGCAGAUGCACAGACAGACAGCUUAAUCUCAUGCCUGAUGUAAACUAAGUCUACAUGCCAUCUUGAAGGAAUUCUUUCUCUUCCAUAGUUUUUGCCAUCAGUAGUUUAUUCAUUGCAUGUGUGUGUAUGUAUUGCUCAUGUGGCGAAAAUAAUUUCUUUUGAAACAUCAGUUCACCAAAACUAGUUUGUUGUUGUUGUUGUUUUUGUUUUGUUUUUGUUUUCCCAGAAGUAAGCAAACUUUUAUACUACCCAAGCAAAAUAAGUACAUAUUAGGAAAACUGGGUAUUUAAUAUUCUGAAAAUCAGGUGCUUCCACCACUGCUGAUUUCUGUUGCACUUUACCAUGAUCUGUGUCAUUCUUAGUUUAAAUCUCUCCUCAUCACAUUGACUAGCCUUUUGCAAAGGUGAUCUUGGCGCUACUUUGUCAGGCAGAUCUUCUCUCCACCUUCCAGUGCUCGAUUCUUAAAGUGGGUCCCAUGGUUGUUAAAGCCAAAUUCCUUUCAACAUCACCAGCUGCACAACAAGAUGUUAUUCUGCAGGUGCUGAAAUUAAUAUAGUUGUAUGACUUUGGUGUGACAGGGCUCAAAAUCUGCCAGAGUUCUGAGGUAGUUCUG